UUGGAUUAAGGAGAUGAACGACCAGGAUUUGAGUAGUAAUUAAGCACCCCGAAGUUCAUUAUUUAGACUAUUUCGUUCAUUACGGGGGUGAAUUAGUAAUUGUAUAGUAUGAAAUUUUGGAGAACACGAGGGGUCGCGAAUUUAGCGGGAUACACCCGCUGAUUACAAUCUGCCGCCUCAUUCUUCACAAACCGCAUUUACUCCACUAAUCUCUCCACUAUCCAUCUCAAAAUCCAUCGGACUUGCAAAACCCUAGCCGCCGUGGACUUUUUUGGCGACGAUUACACCGGUUUUUCAGUGGAUUUGUAUUCUCGUGGUCGGUUCCGAACAUUACUCCGCCGCGUUCUAAGUAGAGACGCAGAUCUUAUAAUGCCGAAAAGAGGACGGCCAAGCAAUUCGCAGCAAACCCAGCAAGAUGGGACAAAGCUGGUGAGGCGCAACAUAGAAGAUGCAGUGGAUGAUCUUCUGCCGGUUGGAAUAGCCAGGAAAUUCCGCGAACGAAUUACGGAAGCUUCAACCAGCUCUGCCCAAAAUAAAUGCGAAGACAAGAAGAACAAAGGCC